UAAGAUAUACAAUUUUAUUAUCCGUUUUGGCACAUGCUUGAUAGCAAUCUUCUUGCUGAUUAAUUUCUCCCGUGUAAACAACAAGCUAGAUCGGAGACACUUGAUUUUUGGUUCGAUGACCACACACAUGUAACACACCUUUUCUUUGCACAAUUACAUCACGCACACCUCAAAAAACAAUCUCAAUCUCCAACGCCGUUCACUUGUAAGUGCUUCCAGAUCGGCUUCACCUUCAUAUCGGCGCCCUUGGACAUUGCCACACCUCUGUUGGAUCUCCUUGAUUGUCCAAUCGACUCCACCCAACGAUAGCAGCAACUCCAAUAGGUAUCAUCUUCUGCACAAAAUCGAUUAAUUUGUAUUAUCCACUGGGUGUCAAAGUGAUGAACUGAUCACUGGGUGAUGGAUCAAGUAUACUUGAUUAAUAGAUUAUGCUAAAAUAGAAAAACACUAGUCUAUACAUCUAGAUUCAUUAAUAUGACCAGAACCGGUUCCUUACCAUACUUUUGAUAACAUUUUUGUGUUCAAGGUUGGCUCCCAAUCUCCGUCGCUCACCUUGAUUGUCCAAUUGACUCCUUCUAGUAAAUGCCCCACCUCCAGUAGGUAUUACCAUCUUAUGCAAAAAGGCAAUUAAUUUGCAAGAUUCAUUGUAAGCCAGAUUAAUGAACUCCCUUCGCCGUACUUACAUUUCCCUCGAGUUAAUAGUUAUGUGUUCAAGGUUUGGUUCGAACAGGACUCUUAACUACAUAUAAUUAUUUUUCCAGUUAUAUUGCUCCUUUAAUCAAUGGAUACUCGCAUCAUUGAGGCCCUUAAGAAUGUGCUGCAUAGAGAUAAUAUACUAGCAAAAACAUUCAGAAUGGCAAGUCACACAUUCAAAGAAUGUGACUAUCACAAUGCAAUAUUAAAACUAACCAAUAAGUGUGGCGCAGAUGGAAAACGACAUGGUAUGCCAUCUGCAACUGAAGUUGCAGCCUUGAUUGUGAAUGGUACACUAGAAAAAAUAGACGGUAAUGCCAUUGUUAAGUAUAAACAUAUCAUCGAAGCACAGAUAAUAACAGGAUCACAUGUGGAAGAAAAGGUCUAUAUUCCAAAAAUAAUCAUGUCACCAGCUGAAUGGUUGUGGUUUUCCUUCUAAAAAGGAGAAAAUAUCCUAUCUCACCAUGCUUUGCUAUGACAAUAAACAAAAGGCAGGAGCACUCUCCAAACAAGGUUGGACUAUAUAUACAUGAACAAGUCUUUACACAUGGACAUUUAUACGUACCAUUCUCGAGAGUCAGAAAAAGGGAUGGACUGCAAGUGAUGGUAACUGAUGAAGAUAACAAUAAGAAUGUUGGGGUCAAGAACAUAAUGUACAAAGAAUCUACUAUAUAUUAAAAAUGCUUGACGGGCUAACCAAAAAUAAUAAUUAGACUAGAAAAUCCCACAAAAAUUAGAAACAUCUAACUGUUAAUGUUAUUAGAAAAUAAAACAACGACCGUUAGAUUAUAAUAAUUUUAUGAGAAAUUACCCACCAAUGCCAUCGAAAGGACUAGAAGUCUAAAAUACACACUUGCCGUAUGAUGUUGCCAGCAUUUUACAAUAAGCACAAGUACAUGGAUAAUUAGUUUGCUGUAAAAUCUCUUCAAAUUAACAAAUUUACUUAUCUAUGCUAACAUGAAUGUUACAGACUAUAUGGCAGGAUGAAUAUAGUCUACUAUUUCUACGGAAAUAUUGAAAAGAUGCAUGAACAUUUGAUGGAAAUACGAAGUAGUUCCAAAAAAUGGUAAAAGAUUUACACACAUCUAAGCUUAUGGUUCUUAUAAUAUAUAUAUACAUCGGAUUACAGUUACUGUUCUGUAAUUAUUCAAUAAUACUGAACAUCGAAACAAUAUGGUAUCUCAUGUUUGAGGCUUAUUAUAGAAUACAAGCUUAUAGUGAAAGCAUCCGCGCAUUGUUAUCUUUUAUAUGUACAACGCAAUCAGACCUAUUUUACUAUUUAGUUAUUAAAAUUUAAUUACACUUUGAGAAAUAGUAAAACUACAGCUACUCGCAAAGAUGUGUAUAAAUUCUUAAAUUUCAUCGAUAAGAAUGUGGGCUAAGGGGCCUAACACUGUCAAUGUCGGUCCCAUGCCCGGAAAAAAUUGGAUGUGGCCUGAACAAUUCAGAUUUUUGACUAACAAAGUAACAAGUUACCAUCAGCAAUGAUCAUUAAUAGACAAUAUUGACUGGCCCUGAAAAAUUGGAUAUGGAAUAAUCUGUGCAUAAUAGAUUUCCUCUGGAAACUGGGAGCUAAAAAAAGGCAGGACACCUAACUGAACAAAUAUUUUUAUCUAAGCAUUGCAAAAUUGAAAGAAAGCAGAGAGGAGGUGGUACCACUUCAUGGUCCUUCUACAGCGGCACCUCAAACUACAGUUUUGCACGAUUUUGGUUGAUUGGAGCCCGAAGGCACAGACAUUUGUAGGGCUGUGCUGGAAGUAAAAUGUUAGGGGCGACGAGCCACCCUCCGCCGACCCAACUGCGACAGCUCCUCAACCUUCGACCUUGACAUCGAUGGGAGCCUCACGAAACUGGAGAUGUUCGCGUUGCAUCGCUCGCCUCCGCUCCGUCGCAGGGGACAAGAUCCACGCCCUCAUUGCCUACAUGGACACCAACGGCAACGGCACCGUCAAGUUCGACUAGCUCAACUCCUCCCUCGCGUACCUGCUCCUCAAGCCCUGCUAAGCCUAAGUCAAUAUUGACUGGCCCAGGAGAUCGAGGAGGCGCGCGUGACCCAGAUCAGACCCGUGGCCGCGCCAACGACGUGAGCGACGGGGUGCGUGCAGGGAAGACGAGCAAGGUGGCGGCAUGAAAUCAAUAGAGGUAAGAGGAGCUUGGGAAUGAGAUCAGCAACGCCAUUACCAGCGGCAGUAACCGGAGUUCAUCGGGACUUCGGGAGGCAGCAAUUCUAGAGUGACAAGGAGAGAGGUGAAGGAGAAAGGGGAUCAGGAGAGAGUGAUGUGUGCGUGCCAG
rnacentral:lncRNA from 1 species